rnacentral:hammerhead_ribozyme from 1 species
ACUGCUGACGCGUCCAAAAUAGAACGAAACACGCGUCCUGGGU